rnacentral:rRNA from 1 species
UACGAAGGGGGCUAGCGUUGCUCGGAAUCACUGGGCGUAAAGCGCACGUAGGCGGAUCUUUAAGUCAGGGGUGAAAUCCUGGAGCUCAACUCCAGAACUGCCUUUGAUACUGGGGAUCUCGAGUCCGGGAGAGGUGAGUGGAACUGCGAGUGUAGAGGUGAAAUUCGUAGAUAUUCGCAAGAACACCAGUGGCGAAGGCGGCUCACUGGCCCGGUACUGACGCUGAGGUGCGAAAGCGUGGGGAGCAAAUAGG